rnacentral:rRNA from 1 species
AAUCUCGGUAGGCCGGUUUCUUACUGUGCCGGCUGAUUCCGUGGUUAUGCGCUCAUCCUUGGCCAAGACUUCAGUUUUGGUUGGAUCGUACGCAUAGCUUCCGGAUAUCACCAAACCCCGGCACGAAAAGUGUCAAGGAAAAUGCAACUAAACAGCCUGCUUUCGCCAACCCGGAGACUGUGUUUGUUCGGAAGCUGUGCUGCAAUGUAAAGUCUAAAAUGACUCUCGGCAACGGAUAUCUCGGCUCUCGCAUCGAAGAAGAACGUAGCAAAAUGCGAUACUUGGUGUGAAUUGCAGAAUCCCGUGAACCAUCGAGUCUUUGAACGCAAGUUGCGCCCCAAGCCUUCUGGCCGAGGGCAUGUCUGCCUGGGUGUCACAAAUCGUCGUCCCCCCAUCCGCUCGAGGAUAUGGGACGGAAGCUGAUCUCCCGUGUGUUACCGCACGCGGUUGGCCAAAAUCCGAGCUAAGGACGUCAGGAGCGUCUUGACAUGCGGUGGUGAAUUUAAUUCUCGUCAUAUAGUCAGACGUUCCGGUCCUAAAGCUCUUGAUGACCCAAAGUCCUCAACGCGACCCCAGGUCAGGCGGGAUCACCCGCUGAG